UAAGCAAUCUAUACCGUGAAACUGCGAAUGGCUCAUUAAAUCAGUUAUCGUUUAUUUGAUAGUACCUUACUACUUGGAUAACCGUGGUAAUUCUAGAGCUAAUACAUGCUAAAAACCUCGACUUCGGGAGGGGUGUAUUUAUUAGAUAAAAAACCAAUGCCCUUCGGGGCUCCUUGGUGAUUCAUAAUAACUUAACGAAUCGCAUGGCCUUGUGCCGGCGAUGGUUCAUUCAAAUUUCUGCCCUAUCAACUUUCGAUGGUAGGAUAGUGGCCUACCAUGGUUUCAACGGGUAACGGGGAAUUAGGGUUCUAUUCCGGAGAGGGAGCCUGAGAAACGGCUACCACAUCCAAGGAAGGCAGCAGGCGCGCAAAUUACCCAAUCCCGACUCGGGGAGGUAGUGACAAUAAAUACUGAUACAGGGCUCUUUUGGGUCUUGUAAUUGGAAUGAGUACAAUUUAAAUCCCUUAACGAGGAACAAUUGGAGGGCAAGUCUGGGUGCCAGCAGCCGCGGUAAUUCCAGCUCCAAUAGCGUAUAUUAAAGUUGUUGCAGUUAAAAAGCUCGUAGUUGAACCUUGGGCCUGGCUGGCCGGUCCGCCUCACCGCGUGCACUGGUCCGGCCGGGCCUUUCCUUCUGGGGAGCCGCAUGCCCUUUACUGGGUGUGUCGGGGAACCAGGACUUUUACUUUGAAAAAAUUAGAGUGUUCAAAGCAGGCCUAUGCUCGGAUACAUUAGCAUGGAAUAAUAAAACAGGACGAGCAGUUCUAUUUUGUUGGUUUCUAGGACCGCCGUAAUGAUUAAUAGGGAUAGUCGGGGGCAUCAAUAUUCAAUUGUCAGAGGUGAAAUUCUUGGAUUUAUUGAAGAUUAACUACUGCGAAAGCAUUUGCCAAGGAUGUUUUCAUUAAUCAGUGAACGAAAGUUAGGGGAUCGAAGACGAUCAGAUACCGUCGUAGUCUUAACCAUAAACUAUGCCGACUAGGGAUCGGGCGAUGUUAUUUUUUUGACUCGCUCGGCACCUUACGAGAAAUCAAAGUCUUUGGGU
rnacentral:rRNA from 1 species